UGGAAUGAGGAUGAGGCAUUAGUAACUCCAUAUCCAACACUUGAUUUGAGGGAUUUGUUUUCAAUUGAUUGCAUCGUUUUGCUUCUGAAUCUGU